rnacentral:rRNA from 1 species
ACGCUCGACACCUACGGGGGGCAGCAGUGGGGAAUAUUGCACAAUGGGGGAAACCCUGAUGCAGCGACGCCGCGUGAGCGGAGAAGUAUUUCGGUAUGUAAAGCUCUAUCAGCAGGGAAGAAACUGACGGUACCUGACUAAGAAGCACCGGCUAAAUACGUGCCAGCAGCCGCGGUAAUCUGAGCGGGCUGGCAAGGC